rnacentral:rRNA from 1 species
AGGACGAACGCUGGCGGCGUGCUUAACACAUGCAAGUGGAGCGACGAACCAGGGCUUGCCCUGGGGCAGAGCCGCGAACGGGUGAGUAACACGUGGGUUACCUGCCUCGAUGACCGGGACAACCCGAGGAAACUCGGGCUAAUACCGGAUGUGCCCGCAAGGGGAAAGGAAGCUUCGGCCUCCGCAUCGAGAUGGGCCCGCGGCCCAUUAGCUUGUUGGUGAGGUAACGGCUCACCAAGGCUUCGAUGGGUAGCUGGUCUGAGAGGACGAUCAGCCACACUGGGACUGAGACACGGCCCAGACUCCUACGGGAGGCAGCAGUGGGGAAUCUUGCGCAAUGCGCGAAAGCGUGACGCAGCAACGCCGCGUGGGGGAAGAAGGCUUUCGGGUUGUAAACCCCUUUCAGUUGGGACGAAGCUUCUCCGGUGAAUAGCCGGACGGAGUGACGGUACCUUCACAAGAGCACCGGCUAACUACGUGCCAGCAGCCGC